AACUGGCACUAGAGACUGGGUCCUCCUA
rnacentral:piRNA from 1 species